GGAUAACCUGCCCUAUCGUCUGGAAUACCUCGGGAAACUGAGAAUAAGGCCGGAUAGUUCACAAUGCCUGGAACGGUUUGUGGAUGAAGGUAGGAUGGGUCUGCGGCGUAUCAGGUUGUAGGGGGUGUAAAGGACCCCCUAGCCUUCGACGCGUACGGGUGUUGGGAGACAUAGCCCGGAGAUGGAUUCUGAGACACCAAUCCAGACCCUACGGGGUGCAGCAGGCGCGAAAACUUCACACUGCAGGAAACUGUGAUGAGGGAACUCCUAGUGCAUGCACUAUGUGUAUGUAGAUCCUACUCUUAACAAGUAGAGGGAAAGGGCUGGGAAAGACCGGUGCCAGCCGCCGCGGUAAUACCGGCAGCUCAAGUGGUCGUCGCUUUUAUUGGGCCUAAAACGUCCGUAGCCUGUUUGGUAAAUCUGUGGGUAAAUCAAUCCGCUCAACGGAUUGAAUUCUGCAGAGACUGCCAGACUAGGGACCGGGAGAGGUGUGGGGUACUCGAGGGGUAGGGGUAAAAUCCUGUCAUCCUUUGAGGACCACCAGUUGCGAAGGCCACACACUGGAACGGAUCCGACGGUCAGGGACGAAGCCUAUGGGCACGAACCGGAUUAGAUACCCGGGUAGUCCUAGGUGUAAACGCUGUGAACUUGGUGUCGGGGGUCCGCAAGGGGUCCCCGGUGCCGGAGUGAAGAUGUUAAGUUCACUGCCUGGGGAGUACGGUCGCCAGGCUGAAACUU
rnacentral:rRNA from 1 species